rnacentral:rRNA from 1 species
GUGCCAGCAGCCGCGGUAAUACGAGAGGGGCAAGCGUUAUUCGGAAUGAUUGGGCGUAAAGAGCACGUAGGCGGUUUCUAAAAUCUACAAUAAGAAAAUCAAAGCUUCACUUUGAUAAAUAUUGUAUAUAGAUUCAGAGACUUGAGUAAGUAAGAGGAGAGUGGAAUUCCUGGAGUAGAGGUAAAAUUUGUUGAUCUCAGGAGGAACACCGAAAGCGAAGGCAAUUCUCUAGUACUUUACUGACGUUGAGGUGCGAAAGCGUGGGGAUCAAAAGGGAUUAGAUACCCCGGUAGUCC